CAGGUGCAAUUAAGUUAGCCAAUCAAUAAACCUAACAAUCGAGAGAUUAUCCAGGUGGGCCUGACUUAAUCAUAUAAACUCUUUAAAUCUGGGUGUAGAGGUUAGCGACAGAGAAAUCAGAUACUAGAUGCAUCCUUUCUGACUUGAAGAUGAAGGCAAUUUUGUGACAAGUGAUGCUGGUGGCAUGUAAGACCUGUAAGCAGGCCCCAGCUGACAGUCCGUUAGAAAGGAAACAGGGGCUGCAGUUCUCCAACUGCAAAACACGGAAUUUUGCUUGAAAUUUAACUUGGAAGCAGACUUUCUCCCAGAGCUUCUAGAUGAAAACUCAGCCUGGCCAACCCCUUGGUGUCAGCUUUGUGUUACCCUGAGCAGGUACCCAAGACAUAUGGUUCUGGACUGCGGACCCACGGAAAGGGUGAGCAUCCACAUCUACCACCCGUGACCAGACUUCUCCACCUGUUGGCGAGCUUAAGUUAAAGUUAUCAAUAUAUGCCCCAAAACAGCAAUCACCUGGAUGAGAAGCAGAUGACAUCUAAUGUAGACUGUGAAUCCCAAGACACAGACCAGGUAAAGAUUUGAAGAUAUACCUUGCAGUCAGCCAAAAACAAACUAUAGUACUGUGUCUAUCAAAAUGUCCCUGGACGGCUGCUUUCUCUUACAAUGCCAAGACCCUGAUUACACUCUGGUGACAAGAGCUACUUUCAAUCCAAGGAAAGAAGAGGCUUUCUCACUAUUCACACGCGGAGGCACGUGGCAUUUCCUCUGAAACCCAUGAAGCAGACCUCUGCAGCAGUGUUUCCUCGUGCUACGAAAUGGGGCCAAUUCUGGCCAUUAUGUUCACCAGCUUUAUAUAUUCCCUUACUUAUACAAUAGUAGGAAAAUUAAAGUUAAUUCUUUUCAGUUUUGACGGUAUCUAAGAGGCCUUUAUUUGAUGUCAAUAAGUAUCCCAUUUAAAAAUGAGAAAACAAGAAUAUUCACUUACUAUGAAGUGGGUACAUGUAUAGGAGAGAGAAAAAUAGAAAAAUAGGAGACAAAAGAUGAUAUUGUGAGUCCUUAAUUUUAAAAUGAUAUAAUUUUGUUUUGAAUUAAAGUUUUUGAUAAAAUAUCAUUUAACCUGCUAUUGAAGGUACUUCCAAGUUGAUAAAACUAUUAAGAUAAAAAUGAAUUUCAUAUUUUAAGCAAAAUGUGAAAGUAGUACCCCACUUAUUAAAUACAUUGUUCAAACCUCAAUAGAACAGUAUUACAUCUCUAAUUUGUAUCUGCUUAUUAUAUAAUAAAUAUUGGAAAUCACAACCCUAAUCAUCGUAGAUAAAAAGAUACGCAACUUUUGAAUGGUGGAAAAUUUUAACGUUAAUUUAAAAAAAUUAGCCUGAGGUAAAAACAAUAAGAGAAUCCCAUGAAAUGCUUAAUGAAUCAUUUAUUUAAAUCUUCUCACCAUGAAUUUUUAUCUUUUCAGACCAAACGUUUAAUUUAAAAAAUCACAUUUUAAAUAGCUUUAUUGAGGUAUGAUUUGCAUACAAUAAAAUUCACUUGUUUCAUAUAUAUAAUUCAAUGACUUUUAAUAAACUUGGUGUUGUGCAACCAGCACUGCAGUUCAAUUUUAAAGAUCUUCAUCACUGAAAAAGAGCCUUUGUGCCUAUUUGCAGUUAUUUCCUGUCCCCACCUCAGCUACAGGCAACUAUUAACCUAUUUUACGCACCUAGAGAUUUGCCUUUUCAUAUAGAUGGAAUGAUCCAUUUUGUGGCUUUUUGUGUCAGGCUUUUCAUAAACAUAAUGUUUUUAAAGUUUGUCCAUGUUGUAGAAUGUGCUUGUUUCUCUUUAUUGCUGAAUGGUAUUUCGUUAUCUGGAUAGACCACAUUUGUUUAUUCAUUGAGUAGAUGGACAUUUGAGUUAUUUCUAGUUUUUCGGGUUUUAUGAACAAUGCUGCUAAACAUCCUCAUAAAAAUAUUUGUGUGGACAUAUUUCCAUUUCCAUUAGAUGGAUCCUAAAGAUGGAAUUGCUAGAUUGUAUGGUAAAUUUAUGUAUAUCCUUUCAAGAAACUGUCAAACUCUUUUCCAAAGCGUCUACGUCAUUUUAUAUUCCCACCUACAAUGUAUGAAGCUCCAGGGCUGUCCCACUGUAGAAACAGCAUGGAGAACGACUCAAGUGUCGCAGCCAACUGACCCAAUUAACUCCCAGACAUGGCAAUGUGCUACCUUAGAUCACGCAGCACUGGUCAAUUCAUCAAGUGAUGGCAGCUCUAAGCAAGAUGAGCCAACAAAGUUCCAAGCUGAGCCUGGUCCACAUUAGAGUAUCAUGAGUGGAUAAAUGCAAACAAAUACCAUUGUCGCAUAAAAUCUUCCUUGUUGCAAACAUAGAAAGAAUAUUGGAUCAUAUGAAACUUUUGUUUUAUUAUAAGUAGAAGUUCUAUUCCUAAAUAACAUUUCUGCUUUUGAAUUAUUGGUGUUCUCUGGAAAUUUUUGGUAAUCACUACUAUUGCUAACUUAAAUAUGGAACAAGGGACAUGGAAAAGAGCAC
rnacentral:lncRNA from 1 species